ensembl:lncRNA
GUAAAUAAAUAAUAAUUUUUUUAAAAGUAUGUAAUACAUUUGGGAAGUUCAGAAUAUUAGUUUGUGGACAGUAAUACAUUUAAGUAUGAAUCCACUGGUUUGUUAGCUUUCUUUUGAGACUUUGAGCCAGGAACAGGACACAAAGAGAGGGGGCUUUGGUGGGGAGAAGAGAGAGGGACGACACAUGGCAUCAUCCAGUGUUAGAGUGAGAAGGAAGCUCAGAGCCCCUUGACUCCAGCUCCCUUGUACUGCAGAUGGGGAGAACAAGAGUGCUGACCCUGCCACUGGCUGGCACUUCAGACCUGCAUUCAUGUGAAAUGCUGUGCUCAAGACUUCAGCUCGUGGCCAUGUGCAGAGACGCCUCCACCCACACGUACACCAUGAUUCAAGAUGGCACCAGUAAGCCACAUGCAGAGACGUGCACCCAGGCACUGCGAGAGCUCCAGUGGGUUCUGGGAGAGCACAGCUGCACCAGACUUGUCAGAGCUCUCUCCCCUCUCUGCUGACAAGAUCCUUAUAAAACAGCCCUGCUGCUGCUAAGUCGCUUCAGUUGUGUCCGACUCUGCAACCCCAUAGACGGCAGCCCACCAGGCUCCCCUGUCCCUGGGAUUCUCCAGGCAAGAAUACUGGAGUGGGUUGCCAUUGCCUUCUCCAAUGCAUGAAAGUGAAAAGUGAAAGUGAAGUCGCUCAGUCGUGUCCAACUCCUAGCGACCCCAUGGACUGCAGCCUACCAGGCUCCUCCAUCCAUGGGAUUUUCCAGGCAAGAGUACUGGAGUGGGGUGCCAUCGCCUUCUCCGUAUAAAACAGCCCUACUGAAGGCCUUUCAGGAAGAUCUUGUACCCAGGAG